GACGAACGCUGGCGGCGUGCUUAACACAUGCAAGUCGAGCGGUAAGGCCCUUCGGGGUACACGAGCGGCGAACGGGUGAGUAACACGUGGGUGACCUGCCUCUAGCUCUGGGAUAAGCCUGGGAAACUGGGUCUAAUACCGGAUAUGACUCCACGGCGCAUGUUGUGGGGUGGAAAGCCUUGUGUGGCUAGAGAUGGGCCCGCGGCCUAUCAGCUUGUUGGUGGGGUGAUGGCCUACCAAGGCGACGACGGUAGCCGGCCUGAGAGGCGACCGGCCACACUGGACUGAGACACGGCCCAGACUCCUACGGGAGGCAGCAGUGGGGAAUCUUGCGCAAUGGGACGAAAGCCUGACGCAGCGACGCCGCGUGAGGGAUGACGGCCUGGUGUAAC
rnacentral:rRNA from 1 species